UUCUUGCCUUUUCAAAAGCAGACACAAUCUCUUUGCAGUCUUCUCUUGGGCUCUUUACUACUGUCACCUCACAAAUGUCAUUUUGGUGGUCACCUUCAACUGUUAGUUUGUACUUUCCGUCCUUGUCUGUUGUGCCUUCUGUUGUGAAGGUCUCAACACCAGUGCUGAUGCUCCUGCACUGCAACUUGACCGUCGCGCCUGUUGAAAGAAGGAAACAUCAAGCAAAGAAAAGAAAGCGCUCUUAGUUCUGUUCGAUAGAAAUUAAAGUUAGUUGCAUAAAUAUACUUUGUUAUGGCAAUGUAAAUGUAAGAGGUCAGAAAAGCGCUCUGAGUUCUGUUUGAUAAAACAAGAGUCACAUCUUUUCUUUCGUUAUGAGUUAUGACAAUGUGAUGCAAGAGGUCAGAAAAGCGCUCUUAGUUCUGUUCGAUAGAAAGUGAGUCAGGAGUCACAUUUACUUUGUUAUGGUAAUGUAAUGUAAGAGGUCUUAGUUCGGUUCAAUAGAAAGUGAGUCAUAUAUACUUUGUUAGGGUAAUGUAAUGUAAGAGUUCAGAAAAGCACUCUUAGUUCUGUAUCAUGACAAUCGAUAUGAUGAAUCAUAUGAAUACUGAUGAAAUGAGCCUAAAUAGAGAGAAAUGAAUACAAGAGGAGAUUCACAUAGCCUACCAAGGCCUAGCAAUCGAUUGCAUAUCCAAAUAUCGACCUAUUUAAACGUAACAUAUCAGAUACAUCAACAAUUAAAAAAAACAUCGUACCUUCAAUAAUUUCGCUUUUAUUUGUCACGAAUCGAACGCGACACGUGUCACAAUAUACCAUGCCUUCAACAUCAAAGGUCUCAGGGUGAUGACAAUUAGCAAAGUUAGCAAGGGCCACAAUGCAAAGAGCAGAGAGGAGCAUUAUAGCUUUUGCCAUUUUAAUUUGUAUGAAUUUUUAAAAAAAAAUGUUAAAAUUUAUUUUUUUCUGGAUGUGUUUUUUUUUUUCU
rnacentral:lncRNA from 1 species